rnacentral:ncRNA from 1 species
CUUCGAUGUUGACUCAUCACAUCCUAGGGUUGAAGAGGGUCUCAAGGGUCCAGUUGUUCGCCGAUGAAAGUAGAGUCAGGUUUAGAAUCUCGUGAGACAGUUU